AUUGAACGCUGGCGGAAUGCUUUACACAUGCAAGUCGAACGGCAGCACGGACUUCGGUCUGGUGGCGAGUGGCGAACGGGUGAGUAAUGUAUCGGAACGUGCCCAGUCGUGGGGGAUAACGUAGUGAAAAUUACGCUAAUACCGCAUACGAGCUAUGGAUGAAAGCGGGGGAUCGCAAGACCUCGCGCGAUUGGAGCGGCCGAUAUCAGAGUGAGUAGGUGGUGGGGUAAAGGCCCACCAAGCCAACGAUCUGUAGCUGGUCCGAGGUGACGACCAGCCACACUGUAACUGAGGAACGGUCCAGACUCCUACGGGACGCCGCAGUGGGGAAUGUUUGACAAUGGGCGUAAGCCUGAUCCAGCCAUUCCGCGUGCAGGAUGAAGGCCCUCGGGUUGUAAACUUCUUUUGUACAGAACGAAAAGGUUUCUACUAAUACUAGGAGCUCAUGACGGUACUGUAAGAAUAAGCACCGGCUAACUACGUGCCAGCCGCCGCCGUAA
rnacentral:rRNA from 1 species